rnacentral:rRNA from 1 species
CCGGGUUGCGGACAGUGUCUGGUGGGUAGUUUGACUGGGGCGGUCUCCUCCUAAAGAGUAACGGAGGAGCACGAAGGUUGGCUAAUCCUGGUCGGACAUCAGGAGGUUAGUGCAAUGGCAUAAGCCAGCUUGACUGCGAGCGUGACGGCGCGAGCAGGUGCGAAAGCAGGUCAUAGUGAUCCGGUGGUUCUGAAUGGAAGGGCCAUCGCUCAACGGAUAAAAGGUACUCCGGGGAUAACAGGCUGAUACCGCCCAAGAGUUCAUAUCGACGGCGGUGUUUGGCACCUCGAUGUCGGCUCAUCACAUCCUGGGGCUGAAGUAGGUCCCAAGGGUAUGGCUGUUCGCCAUUUAAAGUGGUACGCGAGCUGGGUUUAGAACGUCGUGAGACAGUUCGGUCCCUAUCUGCCGUGGGCGCUGGAGAACUGAGGGGGGCUGCUCCUAGUACGAGAGGACCGGAGUGGACGCAUCACUGGUGUUCGGGUUGUCAUGCCAAUGGCACUGCCCGGUAGCUAAAUGCGGAAGAGAUAAGUGCUGAAAGCAUCUAAGCACGAAACUUGCCC